AUGCAAAUACCCUGUUUUCCCCACAUACUGAGUGGACUUGAUAAGUUUUCUUUCAAUAAUUUGCUGAGACUCUGCAAUGCUGAGUUCAUUUGUCCCGGAGUUGGAAGUCUGAACUCAUGUUCCUGGAUUCCUCCCAUGCAUCUAGGUGCUGGGGUGGGGCCUGAGCUCAGCCAAUCCGCAACACCUCCAGGAGUCUUCCUCUCAGAUGCUGAGGCCACGGAGAAGGAAGCAGCACACAGAAUCAGCCCUGGAGAGGGCGCCAGAGGCAGGCAGGUUCCAGCCAUGUGGCGGCACAGCCUCACCGGGAUAGUCUAGCAGUGUCAUUCAAGUACAGUUGCUCUCUGAGAAGCCUCCAAACCCAGCUCUUUCACACAUACCUAGGACAAUUCCAAGGGCUACCUCAUACCCUUUCCUAGGGUUCUGAAGGCCAGCCAGAGUGGGUGUGAUCGGUAGCAAUGAAGAGCCUUCUUUCACUGACAUUCCACAUUUUACAGAUGGGGAAGCCAGGCUCCAGCGGUUACAAAACAAGGUCCCACGACCCCUAGACCCCACUUGCAAAGCUGAGAUUGACGCAAGCUCAUCUGACUCCAAAACCCAGGCUCUUCCCACUGUGACAAGGGAGGGGACAAAUAAGAAAAGGAAGUUUGAGCUUUUCUGGGAAAGGAAAGAAAUGAAUACCUUGGCCUUUGUCCAGAUGGGGCCUGCAGAAUAAAUCCUAUGUGGCAAGGCUGCUUAACCUCUGCCGGGACUCUGUCAUCAUGGUGAUUCUUCACACAAGUUAAAUGCCACAGUGAGGACAGCACAGGGGAAGAAAAGAGCUCACAGCAGACGCCAUCUCCAGCAAAGAUCCACUGCAGGUGGUCGGUGAGUCCAGAUGGCUCCCCCAGAUGACACCGCUGGGUGGCAACCUAAUUAUUUUUCAUUAAGUUUUAAUUACGGAACAUUUCAAACGUGUACAAAAUUAAAGAGAGUCAUACAAUGAACCUCAUGUGUCCGAGACUCAACUUCAACAAGGAUCAACCAAUGCCCAAUUGUGUUUUAUCCAUAUCUCCACACACUUCCCCCUCCUUCAGGAUUAUUUCAAAACUAAUCCUAGAUUUAAUAAUUCUAGAUUUAAUAAUUUUAUUCACUACAAUUUCAGUAUGUAUGUCUAAAAGAUAACAAUAUCAUUUUUACACCUAUUAAUUAAUAAUAAUUUUAUAAUAACAUCAUUUAGUCUGUG
rnacentral:lncRNA from 1 species